CUAUUAAAAUUCUUUUUUUAACAAUGGUCUUAGUCAUCACUGUUAUAAAAUUAGAUAACAUCAGAGACGGUAUUGUGUGUAGUAAAGUCGUGUUUUGUAAUCGUUCGUAAAUUAUUCAGAUUUUGUGUUUGCGUGUCUUUUGUCUAUAAGGGCAACAAAACGUAAAAAUGUUGUAGUGACAAUGGAAAAGAAACUAGAAGCAUUAAGUAGAAUUGAUAAAGGUGAAUCUUGCAGCAUUAUAUUAUGGUGUCGGUACAUCUACAGUAUCGGAUUGGAAGAAAAAUAGAACUAAAAUCGAAGAAUUUUUUUUUUCAAAAUGAUAUCAAAAGACAGUUUGGACAAUCGGUGCAAAGCUAAUAAAGCUAAGAAUGAGACUUUUGACGACGCUUUGUAUGUGUGGUUUUGUGUGGAAUGCGAACGUGGUUUACCAGUGUCUGUGUGACAAUUAUAACGGAGUUUAUCUGUAAGCAUACCAUAUUUUAUUAAUUUUUACCAUUUUCUCCGGCUAACCCGGAUUUUCGAUAACCCGGAUCGGCCGCGGUCCCAAUUAAUCCGAGUUAACGGGGUUCCACUGUAUGUAUGUGUAUACGUACUUAUUAUACAUAAGAAAUACAUGUUCGGAUUAUCAGUGCCACCUUCGGUCCCGAGGAGCACGGAUAAUCUGGAUUCUACUGUAUUAGGUAGGCCAGAACUUGAUAUAUUACUUGAUUUCUUAUGUUGAUUACUUUUCGUUUUUGGGUUGACAAAACAUGAUUUAAACUUUCAAAAUGCCCUCCUGAAAAAUUAGGCUAGAUGGACAUAUCAAUCAUUGUCAAAACGCUACAGAUUUAUAAUCCAUCCAACUGGUAUAUUGAAUAGUAAACUAGGGAUAAACCAACUAUGUAUAUCAAAACACAAUAUUUUAAAGAUUGGAUAAUUUACAUGAUAUGACAAACACCUAGAAGAUGGAAUCCUGUGUUCUCAAAGAAAAAGCUAGUUCCAGAAAUAAGCUACCAAUAAUAAACUAGAGAAUGUAUUACAAGAAAGAACAACGCUAAUACCCAACAUAGCUCAAUUGCUUCAGAUAGAAAAAGAGGAGGAAAGGGUAGAACACAAGCGUGCCAGAGAAAAUUAAAGGGCAGAAGAGACACAAAAAUUCAUUGAUUUAUUAAAUUUAAUAAUUAAAUUAUACAAAGGACAAUUAAAUAAAGAAUAAAAAAUUA